CCUACGUGAGUAAAGUGGCGUACGGGUGAGUAACACGUGGAUUAUCUACCUUCUAGUGGGGGAUAACCCUGGGAAACCGGGGCUAAUACCGCAUAAGCUCGAGAGAGGAAAGCAGCAAUGCGCUGGAAGAGGAGUCCGCGGCCGAUUAGCUAGUUGGUAGGGUAAAAGCCUACCAAGGCAACGAUCGGUAGCCGGCCUGAGAGGGCACACGGCCACACUGGCACUGAAACACGGGCCAG
rnacentral:rRNA from 1 species